rnacentral:rRNA from 2 species
AACAGCUCAAAUUUGAAAUCUGGCCUCGGCCCGAGUUGUAAUUUGCAGAGGAUGCUUCUGGCGCGGUGCCUUCCGAGUUCCCUGGAACGGGACGCCACAGAGGGUGAGAGCCCCGUAUGGUCGGACACCAAGCCUGUGUGAAGCUCCUUCGACGAGUCGAGUAGUUUGGGAAUGCUGCUCUAAAUGGGAGGUAAAUCUCUUCUAAAGCUAAAUACCGGCCAGAGACCGAUAGCGCACAAGUAGAGUGAUCGAAAGAUGAAAAGCACCUUGAAAAGGGGGUUAAAUAGUACGUGAAAUUGUUGAAAGGGAAGCACUUAUGACCAGACUUGGGCCGGGCGGCUCAUCAGGGGUUCUCCCCUGUGCACUCCGCCCGGCACAGGCCAGCAUCGGUUUUCGCGGGGGGAUAAGACCGUCGGGAACGUAGCACCCUCCGGGGUGUGUUAUAGCCUGGCGGACGAUACCCUCGCGGGGACCGAGGUUCGCGCUCCGCAAGGAUGCUGGCGUAAUGGUCAUCAGUGACCCGUCUUGAAACACGGACCAAGGAGUCGUCCAUUAGAGCGAGCGUUUGGGUGUAAAAACCCGCACGCGUAAUGAAAGUGAACGCAGGUGAGAGCUUCGGCGCAUCAUCGACCGAUCCUGAUGUUCUCGGAAGGAUUUGAGUAAGAGUUUUAACGGACGGACCCGAAAGACAGUGAACUAUGCUUGUAUAGGGUGAAGCCAGAGGAAACUCUGGUGGAGGCUCGCAGCGGUUCUGACGUGCAAAUCGAUCGUCAAAUAUGAGCAUGGGGGCGAAAGACUAAUCGAACUGUCUAGUAGCUGGUUACCGCCGAAGUUUCCCUCAGGAUAGCAGUGUUGAUCUUCAGUUUUAUGAGGUAAAGCGAAUGAUUAGGGACUCGGGGGCGCUAUAUUGCCUUCAUCCAUUCUCAAACUUUAAAUAUGUAAGAAGCCCUUGUUACUUAGUUGAACGUGGGCAUUCGAAUGUACCAACACUAGUGGGCCAUUUUUGGUAAGCAGAACUGGCGAUGCGGGAUGAACCGAACGCGGGGUUAAGGCGCCAGAGUGUACGCUCAUCAGACACCACAAAAGGCGUUAGUACAUCUUGACAGCAGGACGGUGGCCAUGGAAGUCGGAAUCCGCUAAGGACUGUGUAACAACUCACCUGCCGAAUGUACUAGCCCUGAAAAUGGAUGGCGCUCAAGCGUACCGCCCAUACCCCGCCCCCA